CGGUGUUUAACUGGCGUGAUGUGGGACGUCCUACCGGUGGGCUUAGCCUCGCGAGGGGCGGCCCAACUAAUAUCCCGUCGCGGUGCUCUUUACUGAGUGUCGAGUCGGGCCGGUACGUUUACUUUGAACAAAUUAGAGUGCUUAAAGCAGGCUAUCCUCGCCUGAAUACUGCGUGCAUGGAAUAAUGGAAUAGGACCUCGGUUCUAUUUUGUUGGUUUUCGGAACCCCGAGGUAAUGAUUAAUAGGGACAGAUGGGGGCAUUCGUAUUGCGACGUUAGAGGUGAAAUUCUUGGAUCGUCGCAAGACGGACAGAAGCGAAAGCAUUUGCCAAAAAUGUUUUCAUUAAUCAAGAACGAAAGUUAGAGGUUCGAAGGCGAUCAGAUACCGCCCUAGUUCUAACCAUAAACGAUGCCAGCUAGCGAUCCGCCGAAGUUCCUCCGAUGGCUCGGCGGGCAGCUUCCGGGAAACCAAAGCUUUUGGGUUCCGGGGGAAGUAUGGUUGCAAAGCUGAAACUUAAAGGAAUUGACGGAGGGGCACCACCAGGAGUGGAGCCUGCGGCUUAAUUUGACUCAACACGGGAAACCUCACCAGGCCCAGACACCGGAAGGAUUGACAGAUUGAUAGCUCUUUCUUGAUUCGGUGGGUGGUGGUGCAUGGGCCGUUUUUAGUUGGUGGAGCGAUUUGUCUGGUUAAUUCCGAUAACGAACGAGACUCUAGCCUGCUAAAUAGGCGUACCUUAUGGUAUCGCGAAGGCCCCCGGCUUCGGCCGGUGGGUUUUUACUACCAACGUACAAACAAAUCUUCUUAGAGGGACAGGCGG
rnacentral:rRNA from 1 species